GGGAUCAAGUUCCUUUGGGUGGUUACCACGCGUCUAUCCCGCCAAGGGCCUUCCUUUCCUUUCCCCAUCUCUCCUCCCCCAGCCUGGAGGGAGGAGGGUCUAAUUCAACUACCGGUCGGUUUGCGGGUGGAGAUUGCCCAGGCCUGCGUUUUGGUUUCCAGCCCCACAGCUCUGGCAACGUGACCCAGAAGCCUAAGGCUGGGCGUGGGGGCAGCGGGCCGCCCUGGAUUCGGCCAAGAACCCUAGCAAGGCCCGGGAGGUCCAGCGGCCGCCGCUGGCUCCACGAAGCCUACAACAACCUGGCCUCCUUGUAUGUGCGAGAAGGUGGGGGGCGGGGGGGCGUGGGAGGCAUGGGGGGUGCGAGGCCCCCCUCUGGGUGCAGUUCAAUGGGGAGGUUUGGUAGGAGCUUCUCCUGCCGCCUCACAUUUUCCGCCCUGUGGCCCCAGAGCCCAUGUAUCUUCUGUUCCUGCAGGAGGAGUCCUAAGUCCGGAAAGCUGAAGGCCCAGAAGCUGCUGGAGCCGGACCUGGGCUUCCCCGAAGAAACGCAGGACAACCCUCCAAGUGCUAUCGGCAGCCGGUGUGGAGGAAAAGGAGGACCCGAAGAGGCCGAGGUCACGGCAAGCGUUAAUCUCAUCCCGCCAUCUAGGAAAUGGAGGUCCGAUGAAGGGAGCUAGAAACUGUCAUGCGCUGGCAGCCUCGCCAAGUGCAAACGAGGCCUGGCCUGGAGAACCGGGAACUCAGGUGAGACCCAGACCCACCGGCUUUCUCUCCUAAAGGGGCGGGGCGGGGGGUGGCGGGGAGAGGUUGCGUUCUCCUUAAGGGGGGAUAGAAACCUAGGUUCUGAGACUGUAGGGAGCCGGGACUGGGACGCAGAGAAGUGAUGCUUCCCCUGCGACCCAGGCCUACCCGCCAAGCUCCAGAAACCUUCGCAUCCUCAGAGGUUGCCUGCCUCCUGGGAUGGGGUAGAUGGGCUUGAAAAGGAUGCUCUAUUUCCCUUUAGGCCUGCAAAGUCCCCUCAACAGUCUAGGCCCUCGCUCCCAGUCCCCGCCAGUGGCAGCGUGGUCGGGGCUCCAAGGCCGGAGCGCGGGAAUACGGGAAAGUGGGGGCCUGCCAAGUGGGUGGCAUGGGACAAAACGAAUCCAGGAUUCUGGGAGAAACUGGGAGAAGUGGAGGUUUGGGUGACCGCCGCCCCAAGGUGACCCU
rnacentral:lncRNA from 1 species